GUCGAACGAGAAAGGGCUUCGGCCUGAGUAAAGUGGCGAACUGGUUAGUAACAGGUGGGAAACGUGCCCAUGAGAUCGGGAUAACCCCUGGAAACAGGGGCUAAUACCGGAUGUGGCUUGGGGGUCUUCGGGCCUUCUUGCUAAAGGUGCUUCGGUGCCGUUCGUGGAUCGUCCUGCCCCCGAUUAGCUUGUUGGUGGGGUAAUGGCCUACCAAGGCGACGAUCGGUAGCUGGUCUGAGAGGAUGGUCAGCAACACUGGGACUGAGAUACGGCCCAGACUCCUACGGGAGGCAGCAGUCUAGAGGCUUCGGCAAUGGGGGCAACCCUGACCGAGCGACGCCGCGUGGGUGAUGAAGGCCUUCGGGUUGUAAAGCCCUGUCAGCAGGGGAGAAGGUCCGGGUGGUGUCCCUCCCGGGCUUGACGGUACCUGCAGAGGAAGCCCCGGCUAACUCCGUGCCAGCAGCCGCGGUAAUACGGAGGGGGCAAGCGUUAUUCGGAAUUAUUGGGCGUACAGAGCUCGUAGGCGGGCAUUUAGGUCUGGUGUGAAAUCGUUGCCGCUCAACGGAACGAUGCCAUUGGAAACCGGAUGUCUUGAGUGCGGCAGAGGUUGGUGGAAUUCCCGGUGU
rnacentral:rRNA from 1 species